rnacentral:tRNA from 1 species
GUCUAUGUAGUAUAUAUUUAUUACACUGAUCUUGUAAAUCAGAAAAGAGAAAUUAUUUCCCCAAAGACU